UACGGGGGGAGCAAGCGUUGUUCGGAUUUACUGGGCGUAAAGGGCGCGUAGGCGGUCACGACAAGUCAGUUGUGAAAUCUCCGGGCUUAACUCGGAACGGUCAACUGAUACUGUCGGACUAGAGUGCAGAAGGGGCAACUGGAAUUCUCGGUGUAGCGGUGAAAUGCGUAGAUAUCAGGAGGAACACCAAUAGCGAAGGCAGCUCGCUGGGACGUUACUGACACUGAGGCGCGAAAGCGUGGGGAGCGAACAGG
rnacentral:rRNA from 1 species